rnacentral:rRNA from 1 species
UUUUUUGGUAUACUAGACAUAGAAGAACCACACCAAUCCAUUUGAAUUUGGUGGUUAAACUCUAUUGGAGUGAUGAUACUUUACUGUAGUUUCGUGGAAAACUAGCUCAAUGCCAGAAU